CGGCCGAGGAAGGAAUCUAGCUGAGCCACUCAGAAUUUCUCUUUGGGGCUCCCAGGUAAUAUUCACUGACACAGCAGUUUCGUCACUUUGAAGAACCGUUGCCCACCAAUUCUGCUGAUGCUAAGUGGGAGGCAGACCAAUGGCCCAACCCUCAUCCUGCUCUUUUCUUCUCCAUUUUGGAUACCAAGAGCUUACAGAGGACUGCUGGAAGUAAGAGGGGAGAGAAACCAUUUAUAUGGAGCCAGAGCUUCUAUGGAAUAAAGGGCUUGGACCCACUCCAGCUGCUUUUGGAGUCACAAGAUUGAAUCCUUGGCUGCUGUUCUGGUUGCUUUCGGAUACCGUAGUUGUGCAAGACGGCCAAGAAAGGCAAGUGAAGACAGCUUCUGACAUGGCAGAAGCUUUGGAUCAUGCCAAUGGAAGGCUCCAUUCCACUUUCCAGAUGCUAGAUUACAUCUAAAGGGCACCUCAGAAGGAAACUUCUCCUGUCCGACUGCCUCAAGUGUAAACUGUGUGUAUCCAAGGAUCGAGCACAAAGAAUUUUGUCAACAUUUUGUACAGAAGCAAGACAGAUCCCUCCUUUUCAGAUAAGCCUGUGCAUCCUGCAUGAAAUAAGGAUUUUCACUGCUUUGGAUCUACAUAAAUAUAACGUUGUGUGUGAUGCACAUUUGUGACUAAUCAGUUUUAAACAGCAUGCCCUGUAUGCUCAGAUGUCUCAGCAGUGGUGGUUCUCAGCAUGAACUAUGCUGCAGGCUGGGUAAUUGAACAUGUAGAUUUCUUGGAAGUGCUUUCAUUAUUAAUUAUAAUUGACAUCCAUGUACAUUUUUAUUUUAAAUUGAUCCAAGACAUUUGGGAGAACUUCAAUAAAACGUGUGAUGUGUUUAAAAAAAAGAAAAGUUACUGUCAAGCCAUAGAGACAUGAAUACAACAAGUCUUAUUUCUGCCUGUGUUACCAAUGACACUGCAGAAUUCUCUGCACGGAUCUAGAGUUACAAUGUGAUGUGAGUUACUCUAUAUCUGUCAUUUCUUCUGCAAAAUUAUCUUUAUCAUUAGCAAUAAGAUACUCCUCACCCCUUCCUGACAUCCACUGAAUUUUUCAGGAUCUAUGGCCCCAAUCCUGCCAAUAUUAAAGCAAAUUUGUAGUUUUGGGCAUAUAAAGUUGGCUGCUGUGCUAAAAGAUUGGUGCUGGAAGGUAUUAUUCUCUUUUUUAUUUAU